rnacentral:rRNA from 1 species
CAGCCGUAAACUAUGCGCGUUAGGUGUACUGGUGACCACGAGUCACCGGGGUGCCGAAGGGAAACCGUGAAACGUGCCGCCUGGGAAGUACGGUCGCAAGGCUGAAACUUAAAGGAAUUGGCGGGGGAGCACCACAACGGGUGGAGCUUGCGGUUUAAUUGGAUUCAACGCCGGAAAUCUUACCGGGACCGACAGCAACAUGAAGGCCAGGCUGAAGACUUUGCCGGAUUAGCUGAGAGGAGGUGCAUGGCGUAGUCGUG